rnacentral:rRNA from 1 species
UGCAUAUUCCAAAAGCGGAGGAAAAGAAACUAACAAGGAUUCCCCUAGUAACGGCGAGUGAACCGGGAAGAGCUCAAAUUUGAAAUCUGGCGUGCUCAGUGCGUCCGAGUUGUAAUCUAUAGAGUCGUUUUCCGUGCCGGACUGUGUCCAAGUCCCUUGGAACAGGGUAUCAAAGAGGGUGAUAAUCCCGUACUUGACACAAUGACCGGUGCUCUGUGAUACGUCUUCUACGAGUCGAGUUGUUUGGGAAUGCAGCUCAAAAUGGGUGGUGAGUUCCAUCUAAAGCUAAAUAUUGGCGAGAGACCGAUAGCGAACAAGUACCGUGAGGGAAAGAUGAAAAGCACUUUGGAAAGAGAGUUAAACAGUACGUGAAAUUGUUAAAAGGGAAACGAUUGAAGUCAGUCGUGACUGAGAGGCUCAGCCGGUUCUGCCGGUGUAUUCCCCUCAGUCGGGUCAACAUCAGUUUUGUUCGGUGGAUAAGGGCGGUUGGAAGGUGGCACCCUCGGGUGUGUUAUAGCCAACUGUCGCAUACAUCGGAUGAGACUGAGGAAUGCAGCUCGCCUUUAUGGCCGGGGUUCGCCCACGUCGAGCUAGGAUGUGACAUAAGCGGGCGU